rnacentral:misc_RNA from 1 species
AACGCACAUUGCGCCCGCCAGUAUUCUGGCGGGCAUGCCUGUCUGAGCGUCAUUUCAACCCUCACGCCCCCCAGGGGCCGUGGUGUUGGGGACCGGCUCCAGGGCUCCCUCCGGGGGGCCCGGGCCGCCCCCUAAAUGCAUUGGCGGACCCGCUGUAGCCUCCCGCGCGUAGUAGCACUAUUUCGCGUCGUGGCGGCCGGCGAGCCCCUGCCGUAAAACCCCCCACCAUCUCAAGGUUGACCUCAGAUCAGGUAGGAAUACCCGCUGAACUUAA